CUUUUUAGCAUGGAAACUUCUGAACAUUUCUUCACUGGAAUUCUUUACAAGUUUGAAAUAAGGGUCAGACCCUCGUCUCUUAGCAGUGGCUGCAAACGGGUGAAGUGACACUCUGAACCCCUGGUGGCAUCCUGCAUGUGACCAGCGCCUGAGGCAGUUCUGCUCCGUGGGCUGGCUACAGUGGUGAUUCCAGCCGUUCCCUCAUGGGCUGGCUGUGGUGGGCGAUUCCAGCCAUUCCCUCAUGGGCUGGCUGUGGAUGGAUUCAAUUUGGCUUAAGAUGAGGCUCCAGAUCUGUCACCCACAGUCAAUGUCCCAGCUGCCUUCACUUCAUUGGAUCCAGCUGAAGUAUUCUGCUCAGCAGGAGAGCUCAGCUGGGCUAAUGGGCCCUAGAGGCUUGUUCUACUAUUUUCUCAUCUCCUGUUAGGUUUUAGCCAGGUGCAGAAUCCACUGCCUAUUUCCUGAUUAAUCCAGUAUCUGUUUUGUCACAGCUGAAAAUAGCAAGAAGCCUACAGAGAGCUUUAAAUAGUGGCAAGUCAGAGCAGUAAUGCACAGGCAAGUCGCUGUAGAAGUUGGGCCCGGUGUUGAUGCGGAACCUGCCGGCAGCGGCGUUCACCACGUGGGAGAUGCCCA